CUCUGUUGUUAGGGAAGAACAAGUGCUAGUUGAAUAAGCUGGCACCUUGACGGUACCUAACCAGAAAGCCACGGCUAACUACGUGCCAGCAGCCGCGGUAAUACGUAGGUGGCAAGCGUUAUCCGGAAUUAUUGGGCGUAAAGCGCGCGCAGGUGGUUUCUUAAGUCUGAUGUGAAAGCCCACGGCUCAACCGUGGAGGGUCAUUGGAAACUGGGAGACUUGAGUGCAGAAGAGGAAAGUGGAAUUCCAUGUGUAGCGGUGAAAUGCGUAGAGAUAUGGAGGAACACCAGUGGCGAAGGCGACUUUCUGGUCUGUAACUGACACUGAGGCGCGAAAGCGUGGGGAGCAAACAGGAUUAGAUACCCUGGUAGUCCACGCCGUAAACGAUGAGUGCUAAGUGUUAGAGGGUUUCCGCCCUUUAGUGCUGAAGUUAACGCA
rnacentral:rRNA from 1 species